AUGUCACAUGAUAGGAGAGAAAGUUAGCACUCUCUCUAAAAUGGAUGGAAGUUGUUUAUACUUUCAAUCAUUCAUUCUAUAUUCUGCCUUUUU